UUAGGGGAAGGGUCUCUCUCUCCCCUCAGAUAGUAUGACCUACCCCUCAACCAUUAGGGGGAAGGGUCUCUCUCUCUCCCCUCAGAUAGUAUGACCUACCCCUCAACCAUUAGGGGAAGGGGUCUCUCUCUCUCCCCUCAGAUAGUAUGACCUAACCCUCAACCAUUAGGGGGAAGGGUCUCUCUCUCUCCCCUCAGAUAGUAUGACCUAACCCUCAACCAUUAGGGGGAAGGGUCUCUCUCUCUCUCUCUCUCUCCCUCAGAUAAUAGUAUGACCCUCAACCAUUAGGGGGAAGGGUCUCUCUCUCUC
ensembl:lncRNA